ACCCCUUGGCCCUACCCGCCACAGGCGCCGCCCUGUUCUUUUCAGUUUAAUAUCUGAUAUGUCCUCUAUCCAAGGACAGUAUAUUAAAUGGAUUUUUGGAGCAGGGAGAUGGAAUAGGAGCUUGCUCCAUCCACUCCAUGCAUUGACCUGUUCUUGCAGUACUUCCAGGAAUGGUGCACCCCUA